rnacentral:lncRNA from 1 species
UUCUAAAUAUUUAAAUACUUUGGCAUCAGAGAUAUGUUUCAAAAAAUCCUUUUGAUGGAGUCAAACUCUCCAAGCUUCUGUUUCUUUGACCCAGGUUCUUCAGAGUCUUAUGGCCUGAGUCCUCUCCUAGGAACAAGGAAGGCCUGGGCUGGCAGGUGUCUGGCCAACUCUCGGCUGCACCCAAAGCAGCGGCAGCGCCCUUACUUGUCCUAACACUGGACUUCCACUGGGGAAAGAGCUUUAAUUACCUCUGAAAUCUCAGGUCUAAAGAUCAGUAACUCAUACAAUCUGUUUUCUUAAAUGUGAGCGCUGGGCUGCAGUUCUGUGUGGUAAGG